UAGGGAAUCUUCCACAAUGGACGAAAGUCUGAUGGAGCAACGCCGCGUGAGUGAUGAAGGGUUUCGGCUCGUAAAACUCUGUUGUUGGAGAAGAACAGGUGUGAGAGUAACUGUUCACAUCUUGACGGUAUCCAACCAGAAAGCCACGGCUAACUACGUGCCAGCAGCCGCGGUAAUACGUAGGUGGCAAGCGUUGUCCGGAUUUAUUGGGCGUAAAGCGAGCGCAGGCGGUUUCUUAGGUCUGAUGUGAAAGCCUUCGGCUUAACCGGAGAAGUGCAUCGGAAACCAGGAGACUUGAGUGCAGAAGAGGACAGUGGAACUCCAUGUGUAGCGGUGAAAUGCGUAGAUAUAUGGAAGAACACCAGUGGCGAAGGCGGCUGUCUGGUCUGUAACUGACGCUGAGGCUCGAAAGCAUGGGUAGCGAACAGGAUUAGAUACCCUUGGUAGUCCAUGCCGUAAACGAUGAGUGCUAAGUGUUGGAGGGUUUCCGCCCUUCAGUGCUGCAGCUAACGCAUUAAGCACUCCGCCUGGGGGAGUACGACCGCAAGGUUGAAAC
rnacentral:rRNA from 1 species